AGAAUGCACAAUCUACAGAGUUCAUGAACAUUUACGGAACGUGAACCCCAUUGCUUACGAGCCCGAGGUGAUCGCUAUUGGCCCUUAUCACCGCAACAAGAAUCAUCUAAAAAUGAUGGAAGAUCACAAGCUACGUUACUUCCAGCACCUCAUCAGAAGGAAACCUUCCAACAAUGUGGAAAGCUACGCAGCAUGUGUGGGCAGAUUGGAAGCCGAAGCAAGAAAAUGUUACGCAGAUGAGCCUACAAGCCUGAGCCCAAGCGAGUUCAUACAAAUGCUUGUACUAGAUGGAUGCUUCAUCGUUGAGUUAUUACUGAAGCGCGACAUGGUAUCCCUGAGGGAGAAGAAUGAUCCCAUCUUCCAAAUGGACUGGAUUGUGGCUAGCCUGCAGCGGGAUUUAAUGCUCUUCGAGAAUCAACUCCCACUCUUCGUCUUGUGCGAGCUGUUCGACCUGAUUGAGGAUCCCGGCCAGCAUAGUAGGUUGCAGGACCUUCUCGUGCAAUUCUUCAGCAUUAUGUGUCCUGGGGAAGGCUACAGAGGAGAAGCGAGCAUAGCUCCUCGUGAGAUGAAGCAUUUGCUUCACUUCAUCCAUCGUAGUUGGCUUCCCCGCGGCACGGGCACAGGCGGGAGGAAGAAACAGGAUAAGGGGUUGCAGUUCAUCAACAGCGCAGCGAGGCUUAAAGAGGCUAAUGUCAGGUUCGAGAUAUCCGAGCCACGAGCUGCGUUGUUCGACGUGAGGUUCGAAAACGGGGUGAUGAUCAUGGGGCCUCUGAGGGUCGAGGACAAGACCGAGUCGUUCCUCCGGAAUCUCGUCGCGUACGAGCAGUACUUUGGGCAGGAUCAGGACAAUUUCGUGACGGAUUAUGUCAUGUUGCUGGACUGCCUUAUUGAUUCCUCCAAGGAUGUGGAGAUACUGUCGCGUGACGGAAUCGUGAAGAACUGGAUGGGCAAUGAGGAAGACGUGGCGAAGAUGGUGAACAAGCUGGCUGAAUCGGUGACUGUGCCCAGAAUCUUCAUGUAUGCGGAGAUGUUUGAGAAUGUGGAAAAGCAUUGCAGGAAAAGAAGGCAUAGGUGGAUGGCCAUGUUGAGGCGUAAUUAUUUAAGUAGUCCUUGGGUUAUUAUGUCUCUACUUGUUGGUGCAGUGCUGCUUCUGCUCACAUUCACGCAAACAGUUUUUACCAUAUUACAGGUGGUCUGAAUUAGAAGAGGACUCACCAUUUCUGCUUUAUCACAUGUAGCGAUGUAAACUAAUUUGAGUUUGAUCAUGUAUUAAAAUCUAGAACGAGGGAAGCCAUUUUACUAUGAGUAGUGCUAUUUGGACAAAAUUUGUCCAGACAUAAAAGGUCCAUCCAUAAUUUAAUGUCCCACUUUGUAGUCGGCGCGAAAACUAAGAAAACUGAAAAAGGUGUUGUGGGUGAAAUAUAAAGGUGGUUAACUAAAGUGAUAAAUGUGUUGUGAGUGGAUCCAAUAGUGAAAAAGUGUAGUAAAUAUAAAAUAUAAAAUAUAAAAUUGAUAAAGGUAUUUUUAGGUGAGUCGAUUAGUGGCAAAUGAUACUCCCUCCAUCCCAUUAAAGUUGGCCACAUUUUCUUUUUAGUCUGUCCUAUUAUUGUUGGCCACUUUCUUAAAAUUGAAACAUUGAAUUUAAUUAAGCCCAAUUAAUUAAUUUAAUUUAAUUUAAAUUUCUACUUAAACCUAAACCCUCUUUAAAUAAACACACACACACAAACACACAGCCGCACACACUCACACACAUUGUUCUCUCUCUCGGCAGGGGAGCCGCCGCCGUCGACAGUGGCGCCGCCCGACGGGGCCGGCGUCUGCUGCCUCCAUCUCCUCUCUCCUUAUGUCUCUCUCUCUCUCUUGCUCCCUCUUUCCGGUUCAUCCUCUCUAUUGCCGGAACAGGACGCCGACCGCUCCCUUUGGACUCUGGACUCUGGACUCUAGCCUCUCUCGACGGCGCUGACGAAUCCGCCGCAGCCUCUCGCCCCUCCGAUCGACUGUGUGGCGGCACAUCUUCUUCAGCCACGCGAUUUUGGGGGCUAGGGCUAGGGCUGCGAUCGAAGGGCACCCACGACGCUUCUCCCUCUCCUCUUUUUCUCUUCUUUUUGAACACCCAAAAUUCUUGGUUUGCAUGUUGACAACGAAUUUGGUUUGAAUUGAUUUUUUGGCGAAAAUUGGAUUGAGGAAAUUAGAACAUAAAAUGGUUUUGGAAUAGGAAAUUGGUGGAAAUUGCAUGUUGACCGCCGACGACGCCUUUGCCGGAGAAGAAGGUGAAUGGCAGCCAACAAUCAUCCCCUCGCGUCUUAAUUUACUCAUUAACACACUCAAUUAAAACAUAACAAUGAAUUUCUUAAUUUCCGUGCCGAAAAGAAUGUGGUCAACAAUAAUGGGACGGAGGGAGUAGUAAAUAUAGGAAAAGAAGGAGAGUAAAAAAGUACAAAAAAUAGAAUAUGACUCGAAUUUGUGGACAAAAAUUUAAGAGCAAGUAGGGCUUUAAAUUGUGGACGAAGGGAGUAUUAAAAAUUAAUUUAUUUAAAAUUUUUAGUUUAAGUUUAAAAAGAAUUUAGUUAGUUUUAUUUGACUCAUGAAUCGUUUGUUUCUUUUUUAAAAUUAGAGUUUCGUACCUUUCAGUUAAUAAAAAUUAAGUCUUAAAAUUUAAUUUAAAAAUCUUAUGGUACUAUUCAUGCACCAUCCUUAUUCAAUUCAAUUUUUUUUUUAAUUUUUUUUUCAAAAUAUAUGAUUUUUUAUUUAUACUAUUCAAAUUUAUUUAUUUAUUUUUAUUAUUGUAUAUAAGAAAAGAUGCAUAAUUUAUUUAUUUUUAUUAUUGUAAAUAGCAAGAUGAAUUAUUGGAUAAUAAAUUUCAAAAUUUUCAUCUUAUACAAAAGUGAUUUACAUAUUGGAUAACUAAAUGAAUUUUAAUUUACAUUACUACUUUCCCAAAAAUUUAUUAAAAUUAUGUGCAUGUAUCUUCAUUAAUAAAAUUGAAUUUUNCUUUUAGAGCAUCUCCAAUGCUCGAGUUUUCGCCUCGGAUUGAUCCAGUAUUUCGGCCGCACCGCGCGCUGGAGAACCGCGGCGACGCCGGCGUUGCUGCGCUCGACUAAAAUUAAAAAAGAAAAGAAAAAGGAAAUUGGGAAAGAGAGUUGCAGGGAAAUGGGGAAAGAGAAAGGGGAGGUCGGUGGGGAAGAAAGAAGAAAAAAGGGAAAGGAAGGGGGAGUCGGUGGGGGUAGGUAGGGGUUUUAAUUGUGGUUUUCACUGAAACGAACACACCUCAACUACUGGAUCUGUAUGGACAUGCCUCCACCAUUCAUUUCGUUUUCUACAUUAAUGCAGAAUGUUAUUAAUUUAAUGUUACAGAAAUUUCUCAACGUUAUAUCAUAUAUAUGGAUCCUAACAGCACAACGGAAGCCUGCGCUAGCUUGAAUGAAAAACUGACGAAACUCAACGCGGAGGCAGAAUCAGAAUGCACAAUCUACAGAGUUCAUAAAAAAUUACGGAACGUGAACCCCAAUGCUUACGAGCCCAAGGUGAUCGCUAUUGGUCCUUAUCACCGCAACAAGGAUCAUCUAAAAAUGAUGGAAGAUCACAAGCUACGUUACUUCCAGCACCUCAUCAGAAGGAAACCUUCCAACAAUGUGGAAAGCUACGCAGCAUGUGUGGGCAGAUUGGAAGCCGAAGCAAGAAAAUGUUACGCAGAUGAGCCUACAAGCAUGAGCCCAAGCGACUUCAUACAAAUGCUUGUAC
rnacentral:lncRNA from 1 species